AGAGUUUGAUCCUGGCUCAGGGUGAACGCUGGCGGCGUGCUUGACACAUGCAAGUCGAACGGUAUGUGGCAACACAUAGAGUGGCGAACGGGUGAGUAACACGUGGGAACGUACCCUACGCAGGGGGAUAACUGACCGAAAGGACAGCUAAUACCGCAUAAGACCGAAAGGUGAAAGGUGCAACUGCACCGGCGAAGGAGCGGCCCGCGGACCAUCAGCUAGUUGGUGGGGUAAGAGCCUACCAAGGCAACGACGGAUAGCCGGCGUGAGAGCGUGGCCGGCCACAAGGACACUGAGAUACGGGUCCUACUCCUACGGGAGGCAGCAGUGCGGAAUUUUAGAUAAUGGAGGCAACUCUGAUCUAGCGACGCCGCGUGCAGGAAGAAGGUCUUCGGAUUGUAAACUGCUGUGGUAAGGGAAAAAUGCCAUGUAGAGUGGAAAGCUACAUGGAGGGAUGGUACUUUACUAGAAAGCCCCGGCUAACUACGUGCCAGCAGCCGCGGUAAUACGUAGGGGGCGAGCGUUACCCGGAAUCACUGGGCGUAAAGGGAGCGUAGGUGGCCUGACAUGUCAACUGUGAAAACCCGGAGCUCAACUCCGGACUUGCAGUUGAAACUGCCAGGCUUGAGGACGGUAGAGGAAGACGGAACUGCCAGUGUAGGGGUAAAAUCCUUAGAUAUUGGCAGGAACGCCGGUGACGAAGGUGGUUUUCUGGGCCGGUUCUGACACUGAUGCUCGAAAGCCAGGGGAGCGAACGGGAUUAGAUACCCCGGUAGUCCUGGCCCUAAACGAUGUUCACUAGGUGUGGGGAGCGGAAAGCUUUCCGUGCUAAAGCUAACGCAAUAAGUGAACCGCCUGGGGAGUACGCCCGCAAGGGUGAAACUCAAAGGAAUUGACGG
rnacentral:rRNA from 3 species